rnacentral:rRNA from 1 species
UUAAGCGACUAAGCGUACACGGUGGAUGCCCUGGCAGUCAGAGGCGAUGAAGGACGUGCUAAUCUGCGAUAAGCGUCGGUAAGGUGAUAUGAACCGUUAUAACCGGCGAUUUCCGAAUGGGGAAACCCAGUGUGUUUCGACACACUAUCAUUAACUGAAUCCAUAGGUUAAUGAGGCGAACCGGGGGAACUGAAACAUCUAAGUACCCCGAGGAAAAGAAAUCAACCGAGAUUCCCCCAGUAGCGGCGAGCGAACGGGGAGCAGCCCAGAGCCUGAAUCAGUGUGUGUGUUAGUGGAAGCGUCUGGAAAGGCGCGCGAUACAGGGUGACAGCCCCGUACACAAAAAUGCACAUGCUGUGAGCUCGAUGAGUAGGGCGGGACACGUGGUAUCCUGUCUGAAUAUGGGGGGACCAUCCUCCAAGGCUAAAUACUCCUGACUGACCGAUAGUGAACCAGUACCGUGAGGGAAAGGCGAAAAGAACCCCGGCGAGGGGAGUGAAAAAGAACCUGAAACCGUGUACGUACAAGCAGUGGGAGCCUCUUUUAUGGGGUGACUGCGUACCUUUUGUAUAAUGGGUCAGCGACUUAUAUUCUGUAGCAAGGUUAACCGAAUAGGGGAGCCGAAGGGAAACCGAGUCUUAACUGGGCGUUAAGUUGCAGGGUAUAGACCCGAAACCCGGUGAUCUAGCCAUGGGCAGGUUGAAGGUUGGGUAACACUAACUGGAGGACCGAACCGACUAAUGUUGAAAAAUUAGCGGAUGACUUGUGGCUGGGGGUGAAAGGCCAAUCAAACCGGGAGAUAGCUGGUUCUCCCCGAAAGCUAUUUAGGUAGCGCCUCGUGAAUUCAUCUCCGGGGGUAGAGCACUGUUUCGGCAAGGGGGUCAUCCCGACUUACCAACCCGAUGCAAACUGCGAAUACCGGAGAAUGUUAUCACGGGAGACACACGGCGGGUGCUAACGUCCGUCGUGAAGAGGGAAACAACCCAGACCGCCAGCUAAGGUCCCAAAGUCAUGGUUAAGUGGGAAACGAUGUGGGAAGGCCCAGACAGCCAGGAUGUUGGCUUAGAAGCAGCCAUCAUUUAAAGAAAGCGUAAUAGCUCACUGGUCGAGUCGGCCUGCGCGGAAGAUGUAACGGGGCUAAACCAUGCACCGAAGCUGCGGCAGCGACGCUUAUGCGUUGUUGGGUAGGGGAGCGUUCUGUAAGCCUGUGAAGGUGUACUGUGAGGUAUGCUGGAGGUAUCAGAAGUGCGAAUGCUGACAUAAGUAACGAUAAAGCGGGUGAAAAGCCCGCUCGCCGGAAGACCAAGGGUUCCUGUCCAACGUUAAUCGGGGCAGGGUGAGUCGACCCCUAAGGCGAGGCCGAAAGGCGUAGUCGAUGGGAAACAGGUUAAUAUUCCUGUACUUGGUGUUACUGCGAAGGGGGGACGGAGAAGGCUAUGUUGGCCGGGCGACGGUUGUCCCGGUUUAAGCGUGUAGGCUGGUUUUCCAGGCAAAUCCGGAAAAUCAAGGCUGAGGCGUGAUGACGAGGCACUACGGUGCUGAAGCAACAAAUGCCCUGCUUCCAGGAAAAGCCUCUAAGCAUCAGGUAACAUCAAAUCGUACCCCAAACCGACACAGGUGGUCAGGUAGAGAAUACCAAGGCGCUUGAGAGAACUCGGGUGAAGGAACUAGGCAAAAUGGUGCCGUAACUUCGGGAGAAGGCACGCUGAUGCGUAGGUGAAGUCCCUUGCGGAUGGAGCUGAAAUCAGUCGAAGAUACCAGCUGGCUGCAACUGUUUAUUAAAAACACAGCACUGUGCAAACACGAAAGUGGACGUAUACGGUGUGACGCCUGCCCGGUGCCGGAAGGUUAAUUGAUGGGGUUAGCGGUAACGCGAAGCUCUUGAUCGAAGCCCCGGUAAACGGCGGCCGUAACUAUAACGGUCCUAAGGUAGCGAAAUUCCUUGUCGGGUAAGUUCCGACCUGCACGAAUGGUGUAAUGAUCCGGACGCUGUCUCAACCGUGAUUCCAGUGAAAUUGUAGUAUCGGUGAAGAUGCCGAUUACCCGCGAUGGGACGAAAAGACCCCGUGAACCUUUACUGCAGCUUAGCGCUGACCCCGGCCAUCCGAUGUGUAGGAUAGGCCGGAGGCUUUGAACCCGCGGCGCCAGCCGCGGCGGAGCCUUCCUUGAAAUACGGCCCUUCGGCUGUCUGGGGUCUAACCCGCUUGUUUCGGGGACACCGCUUGGCGGGCAGUUUGACUGGGGUGGUCGCCUCCAAAAGCGUAACGGAGGCUUCCAAAGGUGCCCUCGGGCCGUUCGGUAACCGGCCUUAUGGAGUGCAAUGGCAUAAGGGCGCCUGACUGGGAGGGGGACACCCCGAGCAGGCAGGAAACUGGGGCAUAGUGAUCCGGCGGACGUGCAUGGAAACUCCGUCGCUCAAAGGAUAAAAGGUACUCCGGGGAUAACAGGCUGAUCCCCCCCAAGAGCUCAUAUCGACGGGGUGGUUUGGCACCUCGAUGUCGGCUCGUCACAUCCUGGGGCUGGAGAAGGUCCCAAGGGUUGGGCUGUUCGCCCAUUAAAGUGGCACGCGAGCUGGGUUCAGAACGUCGUGAGACAGUUCGGUCUCUAUCUAUCGUGGGCGUUGGAGUUUUGCGCGGGUCUGACACUAGUACGAGAGGACCGUGUCGGACGGACCUCCGGUCUGCCGGUUGUGCCGCCAGGCGCACCGCCGGGUAGCCGCGUCCGGCCGGGAUAAGCGCUGAAGGCAUCUAAGCGCGAAGCCCUCCGCAAGAUGAGAACUCCUUGAUAUGAGGGCCGUCAGAGACGAUGACGUUGAUAGGGCGCAGGUGUAAAGGCGGCGACGCCAAAGCCGAGCGCUACUAAUUGCCCGAAGCUUUCCCCGU